rnacentral:rRNA from 1 species
CGGCGAGUGAAGCGGCAACAGCUCAAAUUUGAAAUCUGGCCCUUUCAGGGUCCGAGUUGUAAUUUGUAGAGGAUGUUUCGGGUGUGGCUCCGGUCUAAGUUCCUUGGAACAGGACGUCAUAGAGGGUGAGAAUCCCGUAUGUGACUGGUAGCCUAUGCCCAUGUGAAACUCCUUCGACGAGUCGAGUUGUUUGGGAAUGCAGCUCAAAAUGGGUGGUAAAUUUCAUCUAAAGCUAAAUAUUGGCCAGAGACCGAUAGCGCACAAGUAGAGUGAUCGAAAGAUGAAAAGCACUUUGGAAAGAGAGUUAAACAGUACGUGAAAUUGUUGAAAGGGAAGCGCUUGCAACCAGACUUGCAUGUAGCUGAUCAACCGGUGUUCUCACCGGUGCACUCAGUUGCGUUCAGGCCAGCAUCGGUUUCGACGGUUGGAUAAAGGCCUUGGGAAUGUAGCUCCUCUCGGGGAGUGUUAUAGCCCAGGGUGCAAUGCAGCCUGUUGGGACCGAGGACCGCGCUUCGGCUAGGAUGCUGGCGUAAUGGUUGUAAGCGACCCGUCUUGAAACACGGACCAAGGAGUCUAACAUCUAUGCGAGUGUUUGGGUGUCAAACCCAUACGCGUAAUGAAAGUGAACGGAGGUGAGAACCCUUAAGGGUGCAUCAUCGACCGAUCCUGAUGUCUUCGGAUGGAUUUGAGUAAGAGCAUAGCUGUUGGGACCCGAAAGAUGGUGAACUAUGCCUGAAUAGGGUGAAGCCAGAGGAAACUCUGGUGGAGGCUCGCAGCGGUUCUGACGUGCAAAUCGAUCGUCAAAUUUGGGUAUAG